rnacentral:lncRNA from 1 species
CUCAGUUUGUUUCUCUACCUUUUUAAGAAAUUAUUUGAACAUUUUAAAUAAUCCAAAAUUAUGGCAAACAUGUUUGUAGAUCCAAUACAUCAAUAUGUACCAAACUCAGAACAAUAUUGAUUGAUUCAUCUUUUCAAACAAAAGGUGACUUGGUCAUCUUACUAAAGAGAUAGGAUUGACAGAUUGAUAAUGAUUUACAAUC